ACGCGAAGAACUUACCUGGGGCUCGAAGCACAGUGGACCGGGGUAGAAAUAUCCCUUUUCGCAAGAACUGCUGUGGAGGUGCUGCAUGGCUGUCGUCAGCUCGUGUCGUGAGAUGUUGGGUUAAGUCCCGCAACGAGCGCAACCCUUAUCGUUAGUUGCCAGCGAGUCAAGUCGGGCACUCUAGCGAAACCGCCCCGGAUAACGGGGAGGAAGGUGGGGAUGACGUCAAGUCCUCAUGGCCUUUAUGUCCAGGGCUACACACGUGCUACAAUGGUCGGUACAAACCGUCGCAAACCUGCGAAGGGGAGCUAAUCGGAAAAAGCCGGCCUCAGUUCGGAUUGGAGUCUGCAACUCGACUCCAUGAAGCUGGAAUCGCUAGUAAUCGCGGAUCAGCACGCCGCGGUGAAUACGUUCCCGGGUCUUGUACACACCG
rnacentral:rRNA from 1 species